GGUAGAGUCUGGAGGAGAGUUGCAGAGACACUCAAGUCCAGGGGGAAGGAGAAGUCGGCGCCGGCCUUAGGAAAGGCUGAGAAACGGGAACGGAGAGACCGGGAGCGGGGGACGGGAGGGCUGAGAAAACGGGAGGAGAACAAGUGGAGAAGGACACAGAGACGAGGAGCCAGAGCCUUCACGGGAGGCAGACGGAAGGGAAGAAAAUGGCCUCUAUCCUAUAGGUUCCAGGCACAGAACCUGAAGAGGAAAGAAAGUGUAAUAAUUUUUCCUGAUUCCAAGAAUUGAACCAGGAAAGAGUUUGCCUUCUUGAAACAUGGGGUCACCCUUCUUUGUGAUUUCAGAAGCUGUAACUAUAGAUAUUUGUUUUCAAUUUCUUUUGUAACUUAGGUCACAACUGGAAGGCUCUUGUGUUGUAUGUUGCUUUGUUUCGUUUCCCCGAGUGUGGAAUAAUACCCGCUUGGAGGGAGGCCAGAGUGGAGAGGGACUGAGGUUCAGGGUCUGCUCCUGGCACAGCCAUCAUCUCCCUGUGACCUGUCUCCGAGCUUCAGCGUUCUUUGCUAUGUUAUACUGGAGAACAAACCAACAAAGGCAACGAUAAAACCCUGUUCCUGGGCAGCAGCAUGGAGGGGGCUGCAAAGGAUGCUUGUUGUCCCACGUGCCUGAUCUCCCCUUCCUCCUGAUUCCUAAACUUCUGUAUUUUUAGCUGAGCACGUGGUGACCCUCAACAUAGACUGUUUCCUUGUCUCCCUUGUUAGACGUGGUCAAUGGAAAAUAAGCAAAAGUUUUUUAAAG
rnacentral:lncRNA from 1 species